GCCGACGUGGCCGAACAGCGAGGCGCCGGUUUUGUAAACCGGUCGAUGCUGGUGCAAGUCCAGUCGUCGGCU
rnacentral:tRNA from 1 species